GUGUGUGGUGACUGCAUAUACCUUUUAGGAACAAGUAAUGGAGGUCCUUGCAGAAAUCAAAAAUAGCCAGCAGUUAAAACUAAAUGGAAUUAAAACAUGACUUAAAACAAGAGCUGAAGGUGUCCUAAAAGGAACUAAAGCAGCAUCUAGAGGCUUCCCAGAAAGAGCUAAGGACUGACUUGCAGGGAGAAGUCAAAUCUCUGUUAGAACAGCAACUACAAAGUGUCUGAAUAGUUUGGGGAAACUCAACUGCAAAACUCCCAGGCUAGAAUGAUAAAAUGAAUUGAUGAGGUGGCCAUAAAUCUGACUGCUGGAAACUAGAAGUUCCUCCAUGAAAGACUAGAGAUUAAGCAAGCUUUAGUCAACUUGGAGCUUGCCAACAGAGAUGAGCUGCAGCAAGGACUUAAAUUGCUGAAAAUUUAGCUCCAGAAGGAAAGGUCACAGACUACAGGGGAAAGCAGCUACCUGGAUGAGGAGUUGAACCAGCCAGAGUAAGAAAGGAAUUGAACCAGCCAGCUUUGGCAGUGUACCAGAAUAGGAAGCAGCCACUAGCAAGAAGGAUGGAGCCUGAUCACCAGGGGUUUUGGUCGUAGUUCAUGAUCACCUCAGGCGGUCCAGGAUGACAAGUCACAGUUCUGUUCAUGUGAUCCAAUAAUUCAGGUAUGGACGAGUAAUUACCUCGUCAUAGGAUGAAACUCCACGCCAUAUCUCCAAAGGUGAUUUCAAAAGGGUGUCUUCGUUGAUAGUAUUCCAGCUGUGCAGGAGGAAUCAUUUUCAUUCGUGUCUAAAUGUCACAGAGUCGAGAAGCUUCCACCCAGCUGUUAAACUUAUCUGGCCACUCCAACCAUUUCACCAGUAGCUGCUUUUUUCUCUCUUUUCCUUUCUCCGCUAGAACUUUUUCAAUCCUGUAAAUUCUGUCUCGUUUGGGGUUUACUUUGUGUAAUUCUUCAGGGUAAAAAGAUCCAAUAACUGUCUCACCCUCGUAAUCUUUUAAUCAGUAUACAGGUCUCUGGCUCCUGGAUAACACUUCAUCCACUAUGAAUAUCUCAUCAGUAAAUGUUUGUUCAUAACCUUUUUCAAAAGCUCCUUUGGUUUUAGAUAGUCUCAUGUGCUCACCUUUUCUAAAAGGGGAAACAACCAGUUUUAUUUUAGAACUGUCUUCAUAAACCAUUUUCAUACCUUCAGAGAAUUUGAAGGGUUAACAUCAGCGGGUCUGGUACGUAUAGUUCUGUGAAAGCUCCGGCUGUAACUCUUUAUAAAGUCAGAUAACACGUUGAUGUAGCGAAAGGUAUUAUGGGCUGUAAAAUAUCUCCAUAUCCUAGUUUUUAAAGUUCUGUUAAAUCGCUC